CUGGGGUGGCUUUGAAAUCAGUCUCGUCAGCACAGCAGCAAUGAUACACAGAAACUGAUGUUGUUUUAGGUUAUUUUAAGUUUGGUGUUUGUUGGUUUUUGGCUGGCUAAUUGUAACGAGCGACACAGAGAAACUGAUUUUGAUGUUGCUGUUCUGUUUGUUUUAAGAUGGAUGCACAGCACUGGGUUCUCCCUGCAGGUACAGUGCUGUUAAACUGCAGGCAAAAUCCACCCUUCCCAGCCGUGUGUCCCAGCCGAUGUGUUCUGUAUAAAAGGAUCUGGUGUAACGGAGUUGUGUUACAGGGCCUGCAGGAAGGACCCCUGUUUGGUUACAGAGCAGGCGAUAUCGCUGUGAGUCAGCUCUGGGUUUCUUCACUGACUCUGUUUUAUUCUGCAUUUCUAAAACAGGCUGCAGACAGAAACACACACAGAGUCUUCCGACAGCCAGCCGCAGCCGUACCACAAGCACAGCUCAAUAAUUAAUAAACCCAGCCACCACCACCCAGCACUGCAUCGACAUACCUGCCCUUCCCAGCAGGACGAGAGCUGGCGAGAUGUGCUGUGUUCUGUCAGAAUGAGAACUUUCACAUCUGUGUGCCCUCUGAUCAGUCCAUCUACCUGUGUAUCUGUCUAUCUACCAAUAUCUUCCUAUCUAUCUAUCUAUCUAUCUAUCUAUCUAUCUAUCUAUCUCUCUCUCUCUGUACUACUACUACUACUACUACCACUACUACUAAUAAUAAUAAUAAUAAUAAUACGCCAUAUUUUUUUUGUGAAAACGAGUUUAUGAAUUGUAUUUAAAACAGACAUCCAGCUAAUUAUAUCAUUUGAAACAAAAGUCGUGACAGUGAACGAGAACAUUUAAUUUAAACUUUUUAAACUUUGCGAGACAGUCCCGCCCGCCACCGGCCCCAUGAAACUCGUGACCGGCCAGCGCAUGGGACACGGGGGGACGUCGUGGAGCCCCUUUGAGAGGUGAACUCCAUGAACCGGCACCCCGCUGCGCGUGUGCCGCUGUCUCGGAGACCGCUCCAGCAGAUAAGCGGUACGCAACAAUGUUUAGCAAUGCCAUGGCGAUUUCAACGAUUGAUUAACCCAUGGCUGAGUUCAAGCGGGACAACUUCUAUAUAUUGAGUGCAUAUGCUGUCUUUAAAUUGAUGCACACUGUAAUUCGAUUCGCCGUUCCUAUCUUUUUUUUUAAUGCACAACGCAGUCGCUUUGAUAUCACUAACCUAUAGGAAACAGUUGCAUAAAAAUAAGAUGAAGCUAUAGGAGAGAAGUGUCAACCAAUUAAGUAAAAAUAUUUUGAAGAAAAUAUUUUAAACUGUUUUCUUUAUUUUUCCUCCUUUUAUUAUAUUGUUUAUCACUAUUAAACCUAACUAUUAAACCGUAAUUUAAACAAAAUACAGAAAUCCAGAGAAUUGUAAAGAAUGUCUACUUAAAAAACCAACCCAUUUUCUCAUUUGUAUUUUGUUUCAUAAUUCCAAAUUGAGAUGUUUUCGUUAAUAGUACAUAGCUGUCCGUAGUUUUAUAUAAUUUGCUGGAUGUCUUUGUUUUAAAUACAAUUCAUAAAUUCGUUUUCACAAAAAUAUGGCGUUGUAUUAUUAGUAGUAGUAGUAAUAGUAUUUAUUAGUUGUUGUAGUAGUACAGAAUUAAUAUUUUGCUGCUGUUGUUAGUAUUAACUGACAUUAACGUUUCAUUAUAUAUUUUAAAAAAAAAACAGAUUAACACGUAUACACAUUUGAGGCCUUCUGUCUAUGUUCAAGCUGUUUUUUGUGUGUACGAAUACACAGUAGUAGCCUAAAGCGCAGGAAGCAACUGGUGAACAAAAUGUUAAUCCCUUAAAACGUGUGAAAGACUUGGACUGAUCUUGACCUUCAAACACAUUUCUUCUAAAGUAUAAAACAUAUAAAACACAAACUGUUGUUAAAAAUGCAUGGUCAUUGUAAUUCUACCAUGUGCUGAUGUCAUCAUAACAUUAAAGAACACGUGCUGUUCUGAAAAUAGAACCACCUAACAAUCUAU